AUACGGAAGGUCCGGGCGUUAUCCGGAUUUAUUGGGUUUAAAGGGAGCGCAGGCGGAGAUGCAAGCGUGACGUCAAAUUUCGGGGCUCAACCCCGUCUCGCGUCGCGAACUGCGUCCCUUGGUUGCGGGAAGGGGAGGCGGAACUCGUGGUGUAGAGGUGAAAUGCAUAGAUAUCACGAAGAACUCCGAUCGCGAAGGCAGCCUUCCGGCCCGUCAACGACGCUCAUGCUCGAAGGUGCGGGUAUCAAACAGGAUUAGAUACCCUGGUAGUCCGCACAGUAAACGAUGGACACCCGCGGUUUGGCCAGUAUGGCUGAGCCGCCAAGCGAAAGCGUUAAGUGUCCCACCUGGGGAGUACGCCGGCAACGGUGAAACUCAAAGGAAUUGACGGGG
rnacentral:rRNA from 1 species